GCACCACAGUGACAUGCCAGAACAUUCCAUUGGAACCCGCAGUCCACUGUUGCCAGCUGGCCUUUGCCUGCUGACUGGCAGGACACGGACAAGCUGUCCAUGGACAAGCUGUCCCUGGAGAGAGAGUUUUCCUCCUUUCACUUUCCACAGAAACUUUGGAGAAUGCUGGAAAGCAGCAGGUUUCAUUCAAUUUGGUGGAGCGAGGGUGGAAAAUGUGUGGCCAUCAACAAAGAUGUUUUUGAAGAGGAGGUGCUGGGCAGGGCAGGACCUCAGAGGCUUUUUGACACACAGAAAAUGAAAAGUUUCAUGCGACAGCUGAAUGCAUAUGGAUUCACCAAAACAAAACGGGAUGACCAGAGAUCUGCCUCCCUGCCCGAAUUCCUGGCAGAGGAAGCAGCAGUUUCUGCUCACAGGCAGAUCCUCUACUACUAUAACCCCUGCUUUAACCGAGCACAUCCCUGGCUGCUGGAAAGGUGCAUGAGGAGAG